GACGUAGGAUGCAAGCGUUGUCCGGAUUUAUUGGGCGUAAAGAGUUCGUAGGCGGUUCGUUAAGUCUGGUGUUAAAGACCGGGGCUCAACCUCGGAGGUGCACUGGAUACUGGCGGACUGGAGUGCAGUAGAGGCAAGCGGAAUUCCCAGUGUAGCGGUGAAAUGCGUAGAUAUUGGGAAGAACACCGGUGGCGCAAGCGGCUUGCUGGGCUGUAACUGACGCUGAGGAACGAAAGCUAGGGGAG
rnacentral:rRNA from 1 species